rnacentral:rRNA from 1 species
AGUGAACGCUGGCGGUAGGCCUAACACAUGCAAGUCGAACGGCAGCACCGUAAGAGCUUGCUCUUACGGGUGGCGCGUGGCGGACGGGUGAGGAAUACAUCGGAAUCUACUUUUUCGUGGGGGAUAACGUAGGGAAACUUACGCUAAUACCGCAUACGACCUACGGGUGAAAGCAGGGGAUCUUCUGACCUUGCGCGAUUGAGUGAGCCGAUGUCGGAUUCGCUCGUUGGCGGGGUAGAGGCCCACCAAGGCGACGAUCCGUAGCUGGUCUGAGAGGAUGAUACCCUACACUGGAACUGAGACACGUCCCAGACUCUUACGGUGGGCAGCAGUCGGGAAUAUUGGACGAUGGGGGAGAGCCGGAUCCAGCCAUACCGCCUGGGUGAAGAAGGCCUUCUGGUUGGAAAGUCCUGUUGUUGUGAAAGAAAAGCAGCAGGUUAACACCCCGCGGUACUGACGGUACCCAAAGAAUAAGCACCGGCUAACUUCGUG